CCUACGGGCGGCAGCAGUGAGGAAUAUUGGUCAAUGGACGGAAGUCUGAACCAGCCAUGUCGCGUGCAGGAAGACGGCUCUAUGAGUUGUAAACUGCUUUUGUACAAGGGUAAACCUGAAUACGUGUAUUCAGCUGAAAGUACUGUACGAAUAAGGAUCGGCUAACUCCGUGCCAGCAGCCGCGGUAAUACGGAGGAUUCGAGCGUUAUCCGGAUUUAUUGGGUUUAAAGGGUGCGUAGGCGGAGUGAUAAGGUAGUUGUGAAAUGUCGGGGCCUAACCCGUUCACUGCCAUUGAUCCUGGCGAUCUUGAGAGGAGGAGAGGUAUGCGGAAUGCGUGGUGUAGCGGUGAAAUGCAUAGAGAUCACGCAGAACCCCGAUUGCGAAGGCAGCAUGCCGGCUUACAACUGACGCUGAAGCACGAAAGCGUGGGGAGCGAACAGGAUUAGAUACCCCUGUAGUC
rnacentral:rRNA from 1 species